rnacentral:rRNA from 1 species
GAUGAACGCUGGCGGCGUGCUUAACACAUGCAAGUCGAACGGGAAUUACUUUAUUGAAACUUCGGUCGAUUUAAUUUAAUUCUAGUGGCGGACGGGUGAGUAACGCGUGGGUAACCUGCCUUAUACAGGGGGAUAACAGUCAGAAAUGACUGCUAAUACCGCAUAAGCGCACAGAGCUGCAUGGCUCAGUGCGAAAAACUCCGGUGGUAUAAGAUGGACCCGCGUUGGAUUAGCUAGUUGGUGAGGUAACGGCCCACCAAGGCGACGAUCCAUAGCCGGCCUGAGAGGGUGAACGGCCACAUUGGGACUGAGACACGGCCCAGACUCCUACGGGAGGCAGCAGUGGGGAAUAUUGCACAAUGGGGGAAACCCUGAUGCAGCGACGCCGCGUGAAGGAAGAAGUAUCUCGGUAUGUAAACCUCUAUCAGCAGGGAAGAAUUAGGACGGUACCUGACUAAGAAGCCCCGGCUAACUACGUGCCAGCCGCCGCCGUAACAC